rnacentral:rRNA from 1 species
GUGCAAAGGUAGCAUAAUCAUUAGGUUUUUAAUUGGAAUCUUGUAUGAAUGAUUGGACAAGAGAAGUACUGUCUUUGUAUUGAAACUUGAAUUUAACUUUUAAGUGAAAAGGCUUAAAUAUGCUAAAGGGACGAUAAGACCCUAUAAAACUUUACAUUUAUGUUAAAUUUUAUGGAAUUUGAAAUUAUAAUUAUUAAGUUUAAUUUUUUGUUAUGUUGGGGAGACAAAAGCUAUAAUUAUGUAUAACUGCUUUUAAAAGAAACAAAAAUAAAUGGGGAGAGUUAAAGAUCCUUUAUUGAGAUUGUAAGAUUAAGUUACUUUAGGGAUAACAGCGUUAUUUUUUUUGAGAGUUCAUAUUGAAAAAAAAGAUUGCGACCUCGAUGUUGAAUUAAAAUAUCUUU